GAGGGUCUAGACAGCCUACAGGCAGCAAAGCCCACAUCAGGCAGCGUGUACAGAUUUUUGCUUUGUAUUCUCGUUUUAAAGGGUGUUAUUUUUUAAAUUCCUGUAUUUUUGUAGCACUGGUCUUAAGCAAUAAAUUUUGAUGGAAAAGU
rnacentral:misc_RNA from 1 species